rnacentral:rRNA from 1 species
AAAUCAAAAAUAAAACUAGCUUGCCAAUCACGAAACCAACUGAGCUAAAUCUUAAUUUUUUUAGAUAAUUCAACUAGUGUAGCAAUACUAUUAAAUAAAAACGUUUAGGGGUGAUAGGCCUGUCAAGUUUGGUGAUAUCUUGAUAAUAAAGGAAAUAUAUAUAGUAUAUUAUUCAGCCUAAAGAUGUUGAGGUCUUUAGAUUACAUUAUAUUCAAUUCUAUGAGUAGUAGAUUUAUUAAUCUAUACUAUUUUAUUUAAUUUAAUAUAGAACUAUUAAUAAUAUAUGAAAAAUACUUAUUCUUUUUCCAUAUUUUAAAGUAAAAUUUAUUAUGAUUACAUUAGUAUUAUAUUAUUUUAGAUCAAGUAACUCGGCAAAAAAAAUCUCUCGACUGUUUAUCAAAAACAUUGCCUUAAGAAUAUAUUUAAGGUUAACCCUGCUCAAUGAGCUAUUAAAUAGCCGCAGUACCUUGACUGUGCAAAGGUAGCAUAAUCAAUUGGCUUAUAAUUGAAGUCUAGUAUGAAUGGGACUCCGGGAGAUAACUGUCUCAAUUUAAGUAAAUAGAAAUUGCUAACCAGGUGAAAAUUCCUGUAUACAGAAAAUAGACGAGAAGACCCUAGAAAUUUUCUAAAUCUAUAAUUUCUUCUAUUUUGUUGGGGCGACAUGGUAACAAAGUAAACUUACCAGACAAAUCUGAAUCUUUUUAGAUGUAUAAUUAAAUUACUCUAGGGAUAACAGCAUAAUAUUUUAAAGUUUGUGACCUCGAUGUUGGACUAGGGACCUACUUAUUUAGAAGAUAAGACUGUCUGCUCUGUUCGAGCAAAUUUCCUACAUGAUCUGAGUUCAGACCGG